AGGAUGAUCAGCCACAUUGGGACUGAGACACGGCCCAAACUCCUACGGGAGGCAGCAGUGGGGAAUAUUGGACAAUGGGCGCAAGCCUGAUCCAGCCAUGCCGCGUGAGUGAUGAAGGCCUUAGGGUUGUAAAGCUCUUUCACCGGUGAAGAUAAUGACGGUAACCGGAGAAGAAGCCCCGGCUAACUUCGUGCCAGCAGCCGCGGUAAUACGAAGGGGGCUAGCGUUGUUCGGAAUUACUGGGCGUAAAGCGCAUGUAGGCGGACAUUUAAGUCAGGGGUGAAAUCCCGGGGCUCAACCUCGGAACUGCCUUUGAUACUGGGUGUCUAGAGUGUGGAAGAGGUAAGUGGAAUUCCGAGUGUAGAGGUGAAAUUCGUAGAUAUUCGCAGGAACACCAGUGGCGAAGGCGGCUUACUGGUCCAUUACUGACGCUGAGGUGCGAAAGCGUGGGCAGCAAACAGGAUU
rnacentral:rRNA from 1 species